rnacentral:rRNA from 1 species
UACAUGGGGUGCAAACGUUGCUCGGAAUUAUUGGGCGUAAAGCGCACGUAGGCGGCUUGGUAUGUCGGGUGUGAAAUCCCCGGGCUCAACCUGGGAACUGCAUCCGAAACUGCCUUGCUAGAGUAUGGGAGAGGGAAGUGGAAUUUCCGGGUGUAGCGGUGAAAUGCGUAGAUAUCGGAAGGAACAUCAGUGGCGAAGGCGACUUCCUGGACCAAUACUGACGCUCAGGUGCGAAAGCGUGGGGAGCAAACAGG